rnacentral:rRNA from 1 species
GUAGGGGGCAAGCGUUGUCCGGAUUUAUUGGGCGUAAAGAGCGUGUAGGCGGCCAGGUAGGUGGGUUGUGAAAACUGGAGGCUCAACCUUCAGACGUCGACCCAAACCCCCUGGCUAGAGUCCGGAAGAGGAGAGUGGAAUUCCUGGUGUAGCGGUGAAAUGCGCAGAUAUCAGGAAGAACACCCGUGGCGAAGGCGGCUCUCUGGGACGGUACUGACGCUGAGACGCGAAAGCGUGGGGAGCGAACAGGAUUAGAUACCCUGGUAGUCCACGCCGUAAACGAUGGGUGCUAGGUGUGGGAGGUGUCGACUCCUCCCGUGCCAAAGCUAACGCAUUAAGCACCCCGCCUGGGGAGUACGGCCGCAAGG